GCAACCUGCCCCGAAGACUGGGAUAACACCGGGAAACCGGUGCUAAUACCGGAUGUCUUUCAAUGAUCGCAUGAUCGAUGAAAGAAAUGUUUUUUCGCUUUGGGAGGGGCUCGCGGUCCAUCAGCUUGUUGGCGGGGUAACGGCCCACCAAGGCUACGACGGAUAGCUGGUCUGAGAGGACGAUCAGCCACACUGGAACUGAGACACGGUCCAGACUCCUACGGGAGGCAGCAGUGGGGAAUCUUGCGCAAUGGACGAAAGUCUGACGCAGCAACGCCGCGUGAGGGACGAAGGCUUUCUGAGUUGUAAACCUCUUUCGACAGGAACGAUUGUGACGGUACCUGUAGAAGGAGUUGUAAACCUCUUUCGACAGGAACGAUUGUGACGGUACCUGUAGAAG
rnacentral:rRNA from 1 species